UCUUACACCGAAUGCUUGCAUUCAUCGUAAGAAGUUGAGUGGCGGACGGGUGAGUAACACGUGGGUAACCUGCCUAAAAGAAGGGGAUAACACUUGGAAACAGGUGCUAAUACCGUAUAUCUCUAAAGAUCGCAUGAUCUUUAGAUGAAAGAUGGUUCUGCUAUCGCUUUUAGAUGGACCCGCGGCGUAUUAACUAGUUGGUGGGGUAACGGCCUACCAAGGUGAUGAUACGUAGCCGAACUGAGAGGUUGAUCGGCCACAUUGGGACUGAGACACGGCCCAAACUCCUACGGGAGGCAGCAGUAGGGAAUCUUCCACAAUGGACGCAAGUCUGAUGGAGCAACGCCGCGUGAGUGAAGAAGGUCUUCGGAUCGUAAAACUCUGUUGUUAGAGAAGAAUACGAGUGAGAGUAACUGUUCAUUCGAUGACGGUAUCUAACCAGCAAGUCACGGCUAACUACGUGCCAGCAGCCGCGGUAAUACGUAGGUGGCAAGCGUUGUCCGGAUUUAUUGGGCGUAAAGGGAACGCAGGCGGUCUUUUAAGUCUGAUGUGAAAGCCUUCGGCUUAACCGGAGUAGUGCAUUGGAAACUGGAAGACUUGAGUGCAGAAGAGGAGAGUGGAACUCCAUGUGUAGCGGUGAAAUGCGUAGAUAUAUGGAAGAACACCAGUGGCGAAAGCGGCUCUCUGGUCUGUAACUGACGCUGAGGUUCGAAAGCGUGGGUAGCAAACAGGAUUAGAUACCCUGGUAGUCCACGCCGUAAACGAUGAAUGCUAGGUGUUGGAGGGUUUCCGCCCUUCAGUGCCGCAGCUAACGCAAUAAGCAUUCCGCCUGGGGAGUACGACCGCAAGGUUGAAACUCAAAUGAAUUGACGGAAGGGC
rnacentral:rRNA from 1 species